rnacentral:rRNA from 1 species
CGCCUUAAAAUUUAUUUAAGGUACUGCCUGCUCAAUGCUUAAAGUAAAUAGCCGCAGUAUUUUGACUGUGCUAAGGUAGCAUAAUCAUUAGUCUUUUAAUUGAAGGCUGGUAUGAAUGGCAAGACGAGAAAGAAGCUGUCUCUUUAAAAUUAAUUGAAUUUCAUUUUUAAGUGAAAAAGCUUAAAUAAGUUUAAGGGACGAUCAGACCCUAUGGAGCUUAUUUGUUGGGGCGACAGAGAGAUGAAAAAACCACUCUUUUUAUUAAACUUAUAUUAACGGAAAAUUGAUCCCUAAAGAAGGAUUAAAAGACUAAGUUACCCUAGGGAUAACAGCGUAAUUUUUUUGGAGAGUUCAUAUCGAUAAAAAAGUUUGCGACCUCGAUGUUGGAUUAGGAAUUUAGCUAGGUGCAGAAGUUUAGUUGUAGAGUCUGUUCGACUUUUAAAAUCCUACA